rnacentral:rRNA from 1 species
UACAGAGGUCCCAAGCGUUGUUCGGAUUUACUGGGCGUAAAGGGUGCGUAGGUGGCGGGGUAAGUCUGGUGUGAAAUCUCCGAGCUCAACUCGGAAAAAGCAUUGGAAACUAUCCCGCUAGAGGGUCGGAGGGGAGACUGGAAUUCUCGGUGUAGCAGUGAAAUGCGUAGAUAUCGAGAGGAACACCGGUGGCGAAAGGCGGGCCUUC